AUGUAUUUUCUUACAUUCUCCGACCCGGAGAGAUCCGAUGCACUGACACCAAUGGACUGGCGGUACUCCUGCCUAGUGCUGUUAACAGAGUUCUGUUAAGCCACAUGUUAGACAUUUAAGUUUAACAGCCAAUUCACAUUUGAAAAUUGUUUUCCCCUUUAAGCUCUUUGGACGAAAAAUCGGAUUUUAAACACAACUUGUUAGCCUU
rnacentral:lncRNA from 1 species